AUGGUUCUGGGUUUGUUUUGUUCAUGUCUUCAUGGUUCUGGGUUUGUUGUGUUCAUGUCUUCAUGGUUCUGGGUUUGUUGUGUUCAAGUCUUCUUGGUUCUGGGUUUGUUGUGUUCAUGGUUCUGGGUUUGUUGUGGUUCAGGUCUUCUUGGUUCUGGGUUUGUUGUGUUCAGGUCUUCAUGGUUCUGGGUUUGUUGUGUUCAUGGUUCUGGGUUUGUUGUGUUCAUGUCUUCAUGGUUCUGGGUUUGUUGUGUUCAUGUCUUCUUGGUUCUGGGUUUGUUGUGUUCAUGGUUCUGGGUUUGUUGUGUUCAUGGUUCUGGGUUUGUUGUGUUCAUGUCUUCAUGGUUCUGGGUUUGUUGUGUUCAUGGUUCUGGGUUUGUUGUGUUCAUGUCUUCAUGGUUCUGGGUUUGUUGUGUUCAUGUCUUCUUGGUUCUGGGUUUGUUGUGUUCAUGGUUCUGGGUUUGUUGUGUUCAUGGUUCUGGGUUUGUUGUGUUCAUGGUUCUGGGUUUGUUGUGUUCAUGUCUUCAUGGUUCUGGGUUUGUUGUGUUCAUGGUUCUGGGUUUGUUGUGUUCAUGUCUUCAUGGUUCUGGGUUCAUUGUGUUCAUGUCUUCUUGGUUCUGUUUUGUUGUGUUCAUGGUCUGGGUUUGUUGUGUUCAUGGUUCUGGGUUUGUUGUGUUCAUGGUUCUGGGUUUGUUGUGUUCAUGUCUUCAUGGUUCUGGGUUUGUUGUGUUCAUGGUUCUGGGUUUGUUGUGUUCAUGUCUUCAUGGUUCUGGGUUUGUUGUGUUCAUGGUUCUGGGUUUGUUGUGUUUCAUGGUUCUGGGUUUGUUGUGUUCAUGGUUCUGGGUUUGUUGUGUUCAUGGUUCUGGGUUUGUUGUCUUCAUGGUUCUGGGUUUGUUGUGUUCAUGGUUCUGGGUUUGUUGUGUUCAUGUCUUCUUGGUUCUGUUCAUGUCUUCUUGGUUCUGGGUUUGUUGUGUUCAGGUCUUCUUGGUUCUGGGUUUGUUGUGUUCAUGGUUCUGGGUUUGUUGUGUUCAUGGUUCUGGGUUUGUUGUGUUCAUGGUUCUGGGUUUGUUGUGUUCAUGUCUUCAUGGUUCUGGGUUGUUGUGUUCAUGGUUCUGGGUUUGUUGUGUUCAUGUCUUCAUGGUUCUGGGUUUGUUGUGUUCAUGGUUCUGGGUUUGUUGUUCAUGUCUUCAUGGUUCUGGGUUUGUUGUGUUCAUGGUUCUGGGUUUGUUGUGUUCAUUGGUUCUGGGUUUGUUGUGUUCAUGGUUCUGGGUUUGUUGUGUUCAUGGUUCUGGGUUGUUGUUCAUGGUUGGUUUGUUGGUUCAUGUCUUCAUGGUUCUGGGUUUGUUGUGUUCAUGGUUCUGGGUUUGUUGUGUUCAUGUCUUCAUGGUUCUGGGUUUGUUGUGUUCAUGGUUCUGGGUUUGUUGUGUUCAGGUCUUCUUGGUUCUGGGUUUGUUGUGUUCAUGGUUUCUGGGUUUGUUGUGUUCAUGGUUCUGGGUUUGUUGUGUUCAUGGUUCUGGGUUUGUUGUGUUCAUGUCUUCAUGGUUCUGGGUUUGUUGUGUUCAUGGUUCUGGGUUUGUUGUGUUCAUGUCUUCAUGGUUCUGGGUUUGUUGUGUUCAUGGUUCUGGGUUUGUUUUGUUCAUGUCUUCAUGGUUCUGGGUUUGUUGUGUUCAUGUCUUCAUGGUUCUGGGUUUGUUGUGUUCAAGUCUUCUUGGUUCUGGGUUUGUUGUGUUCAUGGUUCUGGGUUUGUUGUGUUCAGGUCUUCUUGGUUCUGGGUUUGUUGUGUUCAGGUCUUCAUGGUUCUGGGUUUGUUGUGUUCAUGUCUUCAUGGUUCUGGGUUUGUUGUGUUCAUGUCUUCUUGGUUCUGGGUUUGUUGUGUUCAUGGUUCUGGGUUUGUUGUGUUCAUGGUUCUGGGUUUGUUGUGUUCAUGUCUUCAUGGUUCUGGGUUUGUUGUGUUCAUGGUUCUGGGUUUGUUGUGUUCAUGUCUUCAUGGUUCUGGGUUUGUUGUGUUCAUGUCUUCUUGGUUCUGGGUUUGUUGUGUUCAUGGUUCUGGGUUUGUUGUGUUCAUGGUUCUGGGUUUGUUGUGUUCAUGGUUCUGGGUUUGUUGUGUUCAUGUCUUCAUGGUUCUGGGUUUGUUGUGUUCAUGGUUCUGGGUUUGUUGUGUUCAUGUCUUCAUGGUUCUGGGUUUGUUGUGUUCAUGUCUUCUUGGUUCUGGGUUUGUUGUGUUCAUGGUUCUGGGUUUGUUGUGUUCAUGGUUCUGGGUUUGUUGUGUUCAUGGUUCUGGGUUUGUUGUGUUCAUGUCUUCAUGGUUCUGGGUUUGUUGUGUUCAUGGUUCUGGGUUUGUUGUGUUCAUGUCUUCAUGGUUCUGGGUUUGUUGUGUUCAUGUCUUCUUGGUUCUGGGUUUGUUGUGUUCAUGGUUCUGGGUUUGUUGUGUUCAUGGUUCUGGGUUUGUUGUGUUCAUGGUUCUGGGUUUGUUGUGUUCAUGUCUUCAUGGUUCUGGGUUUGUUGUGUUCAGGUCUUCUUGGUUCUGGGUUUGUUGUGUUCAUGGUUUUGGGUUUGUUGUGUUCAUGGUUCUGGGUUUGUUGUGUUCCGGUCUUCUUGGUUCUGGGUUUGUUGUGUUCAGGUCUUCAUGGUUCUGGGUUUGUUGUGUUCAUGUCUUCAUGGUUCUGGGUUUGUUGUGUUCAUGUCUUCUUGGUUCUGGGUUUGUUGUGUUCAUGGUUCUGGGUUUGUUGUGUUCAUGGUUCUGGGUUUGUUGUGUUCAUGUCUUCAUGGUUCUGGGUUUGUUGUGUUCAUGGUUCUGGGUUUGUUGUGUUCAUGUCUUCAUGGUUCUGGGUUUGUGUGUUCAUGUCUUCUUGGUUCUGGGUUUGUUGUGUUCAUGGUUCUGGGUUUGUUGUGUUCAUGGUUCUGGGUUUGUUGUGUUCAUGGUUCUGGGUUUGUUGUGUUCAUGUCUUCAUGGUUCUGGGUUUGUUGUGUUCAUGGUUCUGGGUUUGUUGUGUUCAUGUCUUCAUGGUUCUGGGUUCAUUGUGUUCAUGUCUUCUUGGUUCUGGGUUUGUUGUGUUCAUGGUUCUGGGUUUGUUGUGUUCAUGGUUCUGGGUUUGUUGUGUUCAUGGUUCUGGGUUUGUUGUGUUCAUGUCUUCAUGGUUCUGGGUUUGUUGUGUUCAUGGUUCUGGGUUUGUUGUGUUCAUGUCUUCAUGGUUCUGGGUUUGUUGUGUUCAUGGUUCUGGGUUAGUUGUGUUCAUGGUUCUGGGUUUGUUGUGUUCAUGGUUCUGGGUUGUUGUGUUCAUGGUUCUGGGUUUGUUGUCUUCAUGGUUCUGGGUUUGUUGUGUUCAUGGUUCUGGGUUUGUUGUGUUCAUGUCUUCUUGGUUCUGUUCAUGUCUUCUUGGUUCUGGGUUUGUUGUGUUCAGGUCUUCUUGGUUCUGGGUUUUGUUGUGUCAUGGUUUCUGGGUUUGUUGUGUUCAUGGUUCUGGGUUUGUUGUGUUUCAUGGUUUCUGGUUUGUUGUGUUCAUGUCUUCAUGGUUCUGGGUUUGUUGUGUUCAUGGUUCUGGGUUUGUUGUGUUCAUGUCUUCAUGGUUCUGGGUUUGUUGUGUUCAUGGUUCUGGGUUUGUUGUGUUCAGGUCUUCUGGUUCUGGGUUUGUUGUGUUCAUGGUUCUGGGUUUGUUGUGUCAUGGUCUGGGUUUGUGUUCUGGGUUUGUUGUGUUCAUGGUUUGGGUUUGUUGUGUCAUGUCUUCAUGGUUCUGGGUUUGUUG
ensembl:lncRNA